rfam:Phytophthora infestans T30-4 supercont1.152 genomic scaffold, whole genome shotgun sequence.
CCCUAAAUAGUCAAGGCGGUAGAGAUACGUGGUUUUUCACCCACGCGUCCCGGGUUCGAGUCCCCGUUUUGGGA